CAUCCGCGGCUAGGGUAUAGAACCUUAGCGCCGCCACCCCAUUCUCUCCCUUUUUCUUUUCUCUUUCCUAUCCCAUCACCGUUUAGGCAGGACUGUAGAGGAGUGCAUGAGUAAGGCGUCAACAUGGCAGAAAAGGACGAAGCAUUUAUGGCUUUGUCCUUGUUCACAGUCCUCUACCAAGAAAAACCACCCAAACACGCCUAAGAGGCCUGGUCAAACCAAGUAUGUUGGGCUGAGGCCCAACAGACCAAUUCUUUCAAUAUUAACGGACAAGUCCAAAUGAAAAAAGGAAUCCAUAUCGGAGAAAACGAAUUGAAGGCCCAGCCAUGGGUGAAAAUGGCCAACUAGGGGCUUGGUACGCCCCUAGCCUAACUCUUCCUUUUUUUAUUUUUAUUAAAAUCUGUAUUGUAUUCAUUGUACUUGUAAAAACUUGCAUUAUAGUGGAAUCCUUAUGUUAUGAA